UGAGGCCAGGGAAUGAACCCGAGACCUCAUGGAUACUAGUCAGGUUUGUAACUGAUUAGCCAUGACGUGAACUUAUUUUUUGUUUUUAACUUAAAAAUUUAAAAAAAAUUUUUUCCAGGCCAAGAGUUGAACCAGUACCCCCACAGAGACAGGCUGGAUCAUUAACCAACUUGGCCAUAGCAGAAACUCCAGCUACUUUUAAAUUGUGAUGUGAGAAUACACUCAGUCAUUACACAACACCGGGAAAGCCAGCCUUAAAGAUAUCGAUAACAUCUGUAUUGGGGCCCCUUAAAGGGCAAGCUUCCUGCUUUUCACGAAGGACCUCAACACGCCCUGUGGGUAACCAGGAAAAUGCUGUGGGCUGGGUUUCUACUGGGGGACCAGGAAAUGGAUCGUUUCAUCCACUGGCACUACAUCCAAUGUCUCAGACUUCCUAAAUUACAUCUAAAUGCUUUUGUUGCCUUAGGAAAGUCUAAAAAUGCCGUGCAAUAAAACAGUGAAUAAGCUGAACAAUAGAAACUACUGAAAUUUCACUGCACAUGAAAAAAUAACCAAGCUCAGCUUUAGAACUCGAGGAGUUGGUUGGUGGCUAAUGGAACCAGAGCAGCAGAUUACGUGCUAUAAAAACACAAUCGCUGCACCAAAUGCAAAAAAAAAGGCAUUUUGAUGUUUCAAUAAAAUCCCACAAUCCUGCAUUAAAACACAUAUUGCUCCCUGAUACCCUGUAAUAGUCAUGCUUAAGCAAAUGGAAAACCUGGGGAAAGGAGACUUUAGGGCUAGCUAAAGGAUAUGGUACAAGCAUAAUGAUGAACAUUAUUUCAAUUUUUGAAGAGCCAAUAGGGGAGGAGUGUGGAAAAGACGGGAAUUGGGGAUCAGUGGUUAGUUUUUAAAAUAAAGUUCUAUCCAAAUUCUAUGUUAUGAUCCAACUAGUAGGGUAGAAAGGUGUCACACUAGUAUACCAGCAACCUUCCCUCAUUCUUCAAAAUAAUCCCUAGGCAUUCAAUUUAGCAGAAACAGUGGCUCUAGGUUAUUAAAAAUUAUGGGCAAAGACUGUAAUAACUACAAAUGGAAUUAUCUUUUUAUCAGUUUCAAAUCCAAUUGUAAAGGUGAAAAUUCAUCUGUAGCUGGAUACAUAGGCAUAUUGCUUAAAAACGAGAGUCCCACAAAUAUUCUAAGAAGCUGCCACAUACUUGUUAUUUUGUACAU